UUGAGCAGAAUCCUCAUCUCAUAUAGAAGAGAGGGACUGUUCUAAGGGAUUCUCUGAGCCUAGUGCAAUGAAACAGUCUUCAUCUAGAAAGCAGAUAUGAGAGGAAUUCAGUGACACGCCAGUUUUCCGCAGGAGACAGGGCUUCAGAAGCCCAGGCUUUAAGGCUUCUAACCUGCUUUGGUCUGGAAGGUGGUAAUUAGCUUUGACCACAUAGAUCUUCUGCGUGGCCCUCUAGUAAGUUCUCAGAAGAGCUGAUCUGAGUAUCCUUUGCUGAGAAGAGUGCUUGAACUGCCCUUGCAGGGUGAGAAGGAGCUCGCCAAGUGAAGGCAUAGGGCAGAGGAAACAGCUCGUGGGAGGCUGUGUUUAAAGACCUGUAAUGAUGCGUUUUUCCGAUCUGCUUCCUGACCUGGCUGAGAGCCCCCCGAGGGCACAGCGUGUGUCUGGUUCGCCCUGGCACUGAGUUGUAAUUCACAGAGAGACACCGAGGAGUCGGUGGUUGAGAGCCAGAGCUACCCAGACUCAGGUUUGAACCUCAGCUCUGCUGUUUUUGACCUGUGUGACCUCAGGAAACUUCCUGAACCUCUGUGCUCCCGAGUGUAUACUGGGUGACGGGGUUAACUAUACUCUCAUAGUUGAUGUGCGGGUUAAACGUGAAGCUCUGGGCGGAGUGCAUGCCCAGUGUGAGCAGGCCAGACUCGUGGCCUUACUGUCUGUUUUUGUUGGGGUUUCACAUAAGAGUUCAUUUUUUUAAAAGGGUUUGCCAUGUAAAAAAAACUUGAAACCACUGGCUUAAGAAAAAGAAAUCUGUAAAUGGGCACUUUGACUUGGUGUCAAAGUGCUCAACCAGAAUUUUAGUUCCUAGACCGAUCUAGGCUUUGGGGAUUUGAUCAUUUGGAAGGCGGCAUGAGCAGUGCUAGGGAACGCACUUGCCCCUUGCUUUCUUUUUAGGGAGGUGUGUUGGCUUACCACCAGGGCAGCUGCAUCUCAGAGACGCGCGGCAGCCGGAGCCCCUGGCACAGGGAGGGACAGGCGAAGUCUGGUGCUCGCCGGUGCCACUCGGCACUUUUACGUGGUCACCUUGUGUAAUCUUCAGCAACCACAGGAGAGAGUGUGGUGUGUUAGAUUCUGCGGGCUGGCUUGUUCAUCCUUCUAGGGCACUUUCCUGUGCUGUGGAAGCUGGAGGGUUAAAAUGGGCAUUUCCCAGAGUUGCUGGCAGCUCAGGUUCUGGGCAGGAAUUGGGUCCCCUUUAUGAGCGGUCUGAGGUGGGGAACCCCCUCCGUCCCCCCGUUUUGACUGUUUCCUGCUGUUUAGUGAUGUCAUGGAGAUGUGAGGCUUUCCUGCGGCAUCGUCCCUGGGUUCAUUCCCUGAAUGUUUAGAGGCAGCUGCGGUGGAGGCGGUCCAGUGUGGGGGGGCUGUCGCGGUGGCUCCCUGACCCUACUGCUUUCAUUCUCCGGGUCCUUAGUUCCAGUGGCAGCUCAGAUGUGUUAGCUCCCCUGGUGCGUCAGUUCUGUGUGGUUCUGGGAGCCAUUCCUGGGGGCCCAGUUUAGAGCCGACUCCUUCAGCCCUUAUAGCAGUUUUGAAGUCAUCUAAUUCCUUGAGUUAAAUUCCUUUCUGCUUAAAAUUCCUAAAGUGGUUUCUGUAUUCUGCACUGAAAACUGAUGGAUUCAGGUAAGUACUGUAAAUAAUUCUCUCUUAUAGGUGAGGAAACUGAGGCAAGGGGUGGUUAUGUAGCUUGCAAGGAAUACAAAGAUGAUACAGGGUUUGGGUCUCUCAACUUAGAUUUCUUUCCUGGAAAAAAGAAAUAAGUUCGCACUUCAAAGGGCUGUUGGGAUUAAAUGAGGAGGAAAUGUACAUGGAUGUGAAGCACCCAGCACGUGGCUGGUGUAUUAAUGUCUAGUUUAUCUGUUUAUUUUUUGCCUGACUCUAGUUUCUACUGCUUUGACCAUUUUAGAAUUAGCAUCAGUGAACUGAGGUGUAACAGUGUAACUCUGACUUUUCUAUAAAAUCUACUUGACAGCAUUCCUGUUGACUUUGACCUGCCGUUUAUCUGAGCUGCUGGGGUGUGUGUGUGUGUGUGUGUGUACGCACACGCACCUCUGUGACAUCUGGAAGGAGCACUGGCCGGUGUUCUCUUGACCUACCUGUUUGCUGGCAGGUGGUCUUGGGUUUAGUGUUCUUGUUUACAAAAUGAGCUGAGGGUAUCCACCUUACAGAGUUGUGAGGGUGAAAGGACAGAUCUGAGCAAGGUGUUGAGCUCCAAGUGCUGGGCAAGAAGACGUGAAGACGGGCAGACACAGCUGGAGGCUGCUGUGUGCACCUGUGCACUUGGAGGUUCCGUGAGGGUUAGGAGAGGGAGAGGCUUGGGCACAGCAGCAGGCCCCCUGGGGAGCCCAGCAGGAAGUACAGGGGCUGAGGCGCCAGCAGGCCUUUCAGAGUGUCUUCCGUGUGCACAAGAGUGAGACAGUGUCUCUUUGGCAGAGGGAUUGGCAUGUGCAGAGUCGUGGGAUUGGGGAAAAGUUCAGCAUUUCUGGGAAAGCGCCACAGCAGGAGGUGGCCAGGAUGGAAAGCAGAGGUCAGAAAGGUGAUGGAGAGGUGGGUGGGCGCUCAGACCGGGCGGGACUUUUAGGACCAUGUUUAGACCCAAGACUCAAAGUAUAUAAGAGCCAGACAGGGUAAGAUAAAGGUUUGCCCAGGAGCUGGUGAACUUCCUUGAUGGGAGAGGGUUAAACCUGGCUAGUUGGGGGAGCCCUGAGCUGCCUCUGAGCUGCUCCCCUUGGGGGAGGGCAUAGCUCCCCUGUUCUGAGCACACGUCUGGGCCAAGCACUUCACACAUGCUCUUGAGCGGGUCACAGCUCUUCAGGUAGGAACUGUUUCCCCUGGAGGUGGGCUCAGAGAGGCUAACUGCAUCCACUCCAAGUGGCAGAGCUGUGAUUUGAACUUCCGCUUGUCCAACUCCAAAGUCCAUGCUAUUUCUACAAAAGACACCACCCUGCCCUUUGUCACGUGUAUUCUGUGACCAGCAAGAGGGGGAGCUCUGGGCAGGAAGAGCAGGAGGAGAGGAGCUGAAAGCAGGUGCAGUGGAGAUUCUGCCAGUCAGCGUUCCCAGAGCUCACAGCUGCUCUGCAGAAGGGUGGGCAGGGAAGGAUGGGUGGAAGUCGAGCAGAGACUCCAACCCCAGGGAGGCGGGGCUGUGGGUCUUCAGUUUCCAGAGCUUGGGAGCUCCGCAGGGGCAAGAGGACGUUGUGAGCAAGCAGGUGGAGAAUGCCUUUUCCUCCCCAGGAGGUAGAGUUAUCCAAGCAUUCUGGAGUGUGGGAGUGGGGCUGGGGCAGCUCCGAGUCCUGAGGCUUGCUGGCUCCAGGGCAGGGUAGAGGUGGCAAGGGAAGGCUGCAGCAGAGUCAAGGACAGGUGCUGCCUAGGUCUUGAGCAUGAGAGAAGCACAAAAGAUUUUAGCAGCCAAGCCACCUAGUUAGGGUAGUUCCUGUUAAUACUAAUGGAAGAUCUGGGAGGUGUCUCCAUUAUUCAGAGAAUGGCCUUUCUGUUUUAUUUCACUGUUUUCGUAGGCACGUAAUUACCCUGGGUCUUUUGACCCUGCUUUGAAACCCCAACCCCAAGGUUUUCAGGUCCUCCGUUGUGAAUUCUUAUACCAGAUGGAUUUUCAGCAGCUCAACCCCCUUGAUUACAGAGUGACUGCACUUCCUUUCCAACCACUGAUUUAUGCAGCUAAGCUCUCACCAACCAUUGUUUUGGCACCUGAGAGGUCGUCGGUGACUUGACUAGACAUGUUUCUCUUACUCCAGGUGAGCUUCAUUUUGAGGUUGUCCUUCACGUUUGGAGAGGAUGCAGCAGAGAGUGUCCCUCUGCAGACAUGGCUGAUGGAGCCUCAGGGGGCCAGCUGCCUGUGUGCUGGACUCAUGGGGGAGAUUGGCUUCUGUCGCUGAGUAAUACGUAUUUGCGGUCCCUCUGUGACUCUCGACGCCUUGCUGGCUCAUCUCAUUUUAGUGCUGAGUGACGUUCCCUGUCCGGAUGGACCACAGUUUAUUUAUCCAUCGCCUACUGAAGGACAUCUUGGUUGCUUCCAAGCUUAGCAAUUAUGAAUGAAGCUGCUGUAAACAUGUAUGUGCAGUUUUUUUGUGUGGAUAUGAGUUUUCAGCUCCUUUGGGUAAAUACCAGGGAGCCUGAUUGCUGAGCUGAGUGGUAAAUGUAUGUUUUGUUUGUAAGAAACGUCCAUACUGCCUUCCAGAGUGUCCAUACCAUUCUGCAUUCCCACCAGCAGCGAGUGAGAGUUCUCCUGCUCCACGUCCUCACCAGCAUUUGGUGUUGUCCAUGGAGAGUCUCUUUCUGUUGCUUCAUUUUCUUGGUGAAUUAGGAAGCAAGGUCCUCAGCUGCUGGUGACAGUGGGGAUGGAGCGCUGGGGUUUGAGGCACAAGAAAGAGAUGAAAGGUGUGGAUGCCGUGGAGGCGGUGGGAGGGGAAAGGGCUGGGGAGCAGCAGGCAGUGCCUCUGCCUCUGCCUCUUCUGCAGUGUGUUCCCUGCGGAGUUGUAGUUUUGCUGAGUGAGUCCAGUGAAAUGAGAGGCAGGCAGGGGGGUUGAGAGUACGUGUAAGAGUGUGACCUGGCCUUCAAGCUGAGUGAGGGGUAGGGGAUAUCCGGAGGGUGUGGGACAGUGAAACAGGAGGAUCAGCAGAGACCCCGGUUGAUUGGGAAACCAGAGGAGCCAGUUGGAAAGACAGAAGGCUUGCAUUUGGUGGAGGUGUCCUCAUUGUGCAGACAGGUAGGCUUAUGGUCCCAUGGCUAGUUGUCAGUGGGGCUUGGAGGGGGUCGGCCCCCCUCCACCCCAAGCCCAGCCUGUCUGAUGGUAAAGCUCUACUCUGGGCAGUCGCGUCGUGCACCCUGACUCGUUCCUGCAGAUGCUUAACCACUGUCUGGGGGCUGGUGCAGCCUCCACGUGGGAGCAGCCUUGGGGGCCUUCUUUGUGCCCCAGGAGCCCUUGUUCACACAGAGGGGUGGCUCCCAGAGCUCGUGUGUGUCAUUGUAGCUGCCCAGUGCUGGGGGUUCGGCUACCCUUCUUCUGGUGGGCCCCAUCUCCUGCUUGUUCGAGGUCUGAGAGUGCCCCCACUGCAGCUGCAGUUCCCAGAAUGUCUGUCGGGGCUGGAGCCCACCUGAGGGCAGCGUGGGGUCUGCACAAGUAAAGGCCCAGGUGUGCAGUGACUUACCAGUGGCUCUCAUUUCCUGGGCGGGUAUGUGCUCAGCGGGAGCCGUGUGUGGGAAGGGGCUGCAGAAACCUAACCGAAGGCCCCCAGGCAUCAGAUGGUGACGUCUUCCUCAGCAGCAGGAAAUUGCCCUGGCUCUGCCACUCACUCCCUGCACCUUACAGGUGCUGUGUUCCCAUAUGUCAAACAGAGAGUUGGGCCAGGUGGUCGUAAUGCGAUCUGGAAUCAUUGUCUCAUCUGCUUGCAGCGCCUGCUUUCCUCCCACAGGCCUGGUGACCCCUCCUGGAGGAGGUUCCGUUUCUGCCCCUCCCUACUGCGUGCGAUUUAAAGGAGAAGAAUCUCAGGAGUGGGGGCUCCCUUUGCUGUCGUUCCACGGCUCCUAGCUCUUGUGGUUGCCAUGGCAGCUGCCACUGUGCAGUGUCAUCCCAUGGGCGCCCCCAGCCUGGGUGCCCCUUGAGGGACUGUGUCUCAUUGCAUGCUGGCACCUAGUUAGAACUCAGUAGGUGCUUGUCAAAUAGUUGAAUUCAGAUGCCACUCAUUUCCUCAGUGAAUACCUACCUGGGACCCUCUGCUCCCUUUCUUCCAAAUAAACUACCGUGUGGCGCUUAUAGUCCACUGCUGCCACACGACUCCAGGAGAUGGUCCAUGUCAGGCUCUAAGUGCUGGGGAGAAAUCAGAAGCAGGGUGCUGGGAGAGGGAUGAGGGCUGGCAGAGGAUUGGGGUGGGGGGUUCCAUUUUAAAUAGAAUGGUUGGGAAGGGCCUCACUGAGCAGGUGACAUUUGAGCAGAGAUCCGAGCAAGAUGAGGAAGAAGAAUGUUCUGGCAGAAGGACAAUGUUAAAUACAAAGGUUCUGAGGCUGGUGAGGACUUGCCUUGUUUUUCAAAUGUCUGUGUCUUGUGACCUCCACUGACCUAUACCCAUCUUCUCGAGAAACAGACCAGUGGGCUCCACAUCUCUGGUCCCACGGCAGUUCCUCAGCCACACUAGCCAUGUUCCAGAGCUCAGUAGCCACUCGUGGCCAGUGCCUGCCACAUGGGACAGCUUGGAUUUAUCCAUUCCCAUCAUGGUGGAACGUUCUGUUGUCCAGCCCAGGGCUGGUAGAGAUGGUCCAGAUGACAGUCUGUAACUUUAAUUUUAGCCUUUAUUCUCAUGUCUGAAAGCAGCACAUGGUGGUUGUGAAAUAAUCGAAUCAGUAAUGAGGUGAAUGAAGCCAGGGGGAGCCUGCAGAAAGAGCCUGCGGGACCCCUUGGGGAGAGGGAGGAAACAGGCCGGGUGGCCUGCUAGUAAGGCGGGCGGGGUGCGGAGGGCCGAGCCGCUUCCUCCUCUGGACGGGGGCUUUGCAGGUGUCGUGGCGCUCCCGCGCUGCCCCAUCUGACGCUGCCCGAUCUGACGCUGCCCGCAGCUCCGGGCACACUCACUGAGACACUGAAGAGUGGAGAGGGAGGAGCUGCCCCUCUGACAUGUGUUCUGGAGGUGUCUGUUGUGCCUCCAGCGGGCUCAGAGGGGAUUCAGAGAGUGCAGUUGUAGAGCCAAAGAUGCCAGUGCCCGUUCUGCCCUUCUAGCUGGGUGGCGGGUGAGUUGCUUUAUUUUCCUGAACCUUAGUUUCCUUAUCUCUGAAGUGACAAUUAACGAGGCAACACGUGUAAUAAAGUGCUUGGCACAGUGGUUGGCGCUGCGCUCUCUCUAGAACUUAUCAGGGAUCUUUUUUCUGCUUCUUGCUUGAAUGAAUGAAUGAAUGAAUGCUAGUAAGUGCCAACUUGCCCAGGAGAUGAGCAGCAGAAAAGGGAAAACAGAGAAACAAAGGACUCCAUCCGUCCUGAAGGGUGGACGCCAGUGGAUUUCUUUGGCCUUUUGACUUGACUGAAAGCAGGCCGCCAGUUAGUUUUUCCACGGUCUAGCCAGCGCUGCUAAGUGUGGGUCUUAAGGGAGCAGGAAGGUAUUCUGGGAAAUCCCAGCUGGGUUUGAUGAUCUGUUGCCUUCCCAUUUGUGGGUUGGGAAACUUGUCUGUAUCUGAGGAAAGAAACCUUUAAAUUCAGCCACUUAUUGUUGGGUGCUGACGUUGAAAUUGGUGUUUGCCUCAUGUGGGGAGGACAGGGACUUUUCACUGCGGAGUGAUGGAAUUAGUAACAUUCAGGAGGGGCCUGGAGUGAGCCAAGAAAGAGCAUCUUCAGCCUGCACAUCUGUUUAUUUGUCCCACUUAGUAGCCAGAUGGUGUUCCUGAUAAACCGCACGGGCUGCACUGAUUUCUCUGCGGUGGGUCUGCCCUGACUUCUGGAAGGUGAAAAUCCUUAGAAAUUUCACAGCCACAAGCAAGGUGGUUUUGGGAAGUGGGGAAGAGGAGACUGUGUUUGUUCUUUGCAGGAUUCAUUUGGCUUCCUGAGUUUAUGAAGCACGUUCUGUACAGGCACCAUCUGGAGAUCACACACUGCAUCUUUAUGGAAGUUGAAGCUGUGGUCGGCCUGGGAGGGGUGAUUCAGUACGAAAUGCAGGACAUCUUGUGGGAGCGUAAGAGUUUGUGGGGUUCUGAGAAACCCACAGGCAAACCCAUUCCCGCAAAGCAGUUCUUCAGCCACCAGCUACUUUCUGCUUAUAAAUUAACUUCCCUUUCCCCAGGUGGAUAUAAGAUCUGUUCUACUUAAAAAAUGUUGGUGGAAUGAUUCAACAAUUAAAACUAUCUUAUUCUGUUUUCUACCUUGAAUAGUAUCUAUUCUGAAAGUAUUUGUUUGUAGGACACCGAAUAUUUGAUACAGCUAACAUUAAAUUCUUUUAUGCCUUUUGUGUUUUCCGUAGGCACAUCUUACUAGAUUGCCACAUCAAAUCAGCUAGUUCCUGUUUAUGUUGAGUGAGUUGGGUUUGUAACUGAGAGUUGUUUCAAUUCCAGUUCUGCUGAUUCUUUGUUGUGAGUAGUUGUGGUUUGUCUCGGGAUUCCUGUAAGGCCCUGUAUAUGGAACAAUGAUGAGUCAUCCAGAUUUGCCCAAUUGCCACUUUGGGCCCCACAACAGUCUAGUUUUCCUGUUAAUUCCCCUUUGCUUCCAGCCCGAGGCAAAUCCAGGCUCUGUACAGGGUUACAGGGAGUGGUAGCUGUCUGCAUCGAUUUGAAAAUUAGAGUUUGGAAUUAAGUCCCAGUUUCCUUUAGGUUUCAGAUUUGUGUGUUCAACACAUUUCAUACCAGGAAAGGGGUGUACAGAGGAAAGGGUUAAGAUGGACUCUGCCUCCCAGUUCAUGUCCUGCAGAGGUGUCGACCAAAAAUAAUGCGCAGUCUAAAAGUUGAGAAUUACGUUUUAUUUGGUGGCCUUACUGAGGACUGUAGCUCGGAAAGGCAGCCUCUCAGAUAGCUCUGAGGGGCUGUUCCGAAGAGGUUAGGGAGGAGCCAGGAUACAUAGGAGUUUUCUGCUGGGGGAAAACACACACACACACACACACACACACACACACACACACACACACACAACCAUGUAGCACAAAAGAUUACUGCUAAUCACAAAAAACAGACAUCUUACUCAGGUUAAUGAUUUUAGUGCGUUUCUAUGUAUAGGAAGAUGCAGGAGUCUGGGCUGAUUGAAAUUAUUCCUUUGAUACUUAUCUUGACUACCUAGGGCCAGUCUCCUGUUUUUCUCUGUCCUGAGUCCUCUCAGGGUGCACUGUUGGGCUUGAUGGCUGCAGCAUUCCUUGUUUACUGAAAUGGCAGCCAACGUUUUUUUGUCCACAGGUGGAAGGGAGCCUGGUAUGAGGAGGAAGAAAAGGGUGAGAGGCCAGUUAGAUGAAAAAUUAUUUCCUGGCUCAACCCUUGGCCUGGCACCUGUUCAGUUACUCUAAGACAUUACCCUGAAAUGAACAUGCUUCAUUCCUUUUAGAAGUUCCUUUGACAGCAGUUGUUUUUAAAGCAGGAGAAAUUGAGUGAUGGUCAAAGUUUGUGGGGAGAACACAUGAAUAUGUAACAAACUUGAAAUACAUAUAAUGGCUUAGACACAGUGGAAGUUUUUUCCCAAACCCUCCCAAGUUCGUUCUUUCUUGUGACUCUGGCGAUUUCAUCGUGAGGACUCUGGGCCCCUCUGCAUCAAGCCAGAGAGGGGAAAAAGCCUGCAGAGGCUGGACAUCGGAGGUGUUCUGGGCUAGGCACUCUUGAAACCGUACCCAUCACUCCACUUGCAGUUUAUCUGCUGGAACUCCAUCCUGUGACCACACCUACCUGUAAGGGAUGUUGGGAAAUGGGACCAGUGCCCAGGAUAAUGAGGAACCGGGCUUGGUGAAGAGCUAGGAGCCUCAGGCAGCCUUUUUUGGGGACCAUUUUUCUUGAUUCCCACUUCUCCUUUCUUCCUUCUUCAUGAGAACUAAGUGCCUGGAGUCGAUCAGUUGAAUAUUCUGUCAUUCUCUUGCUUAAAUGGUAGUUCUCACCACCUGCAACAUAAACUCCAAAACUGACAUAGGAAGCAUUCUGGAUCCAGCCCUAUCCACCUCUCGCCUCCAGCUCCCAUCCUGUGCCACAGCCACAAAUACUGAGCUCGUUAGUUAGAGUCUCUGAACCUACCGUGUCUUAUCUCUGCCCGUUCUGCUUCCUCUGCCUGACAAACUUCUGUUGUCCUUUAGGAUUCAGCUGAAGUGACACCCCUUCUGAGAAGCCUUCUUUGAUCACCCUAACCCCUUCCAGACCCCUCCUUUGAAUCUCAUGGUCCCUGAACUUCUUUUGAGGCAGCCCUGACACCCUCUGCAGCCUCCCUCAACAGUGAGCUUCCGGAAGACAGGAGCUACGUCUUACUCAUUCUGUUUUCCUAGCCGAAGCAGGCACUUGGUAGAUGCUCAAUAAAUAAUCUUAAGUGAAUGAGGGAUAGACUAUAAAUCUAAAUAAAGAGAUCUGGUACACUUUUAAAAUCUAAAUAUUUCCCUUUUCGGUUAUAUUAUUGUUCUAGAAUUUGGGAGAAGGCCCUUCCUAAAAGUUUGGUCUCCCACAGCAGGUCACCCAGUGGUGUGGGUUUCAGAUGACUCACGUGGCGUCCGCACCUGUGGUGUCUGCAAAACUGGCAUGUUUUUCUGAGAGGUUUUUUUUUUGAUGAUAAGUGUUUUUACAUAUGUUUUCAUAAAGCUGCUCAUUGUUUAAAAAUAUGUAGGAAAAUUUUGGCUUUUUAUGUUCAUCAUUCUAUGUUUGUCCUUUUCACUUUUAUACCUACUACUAGUUUUCUUUUCUUGCUGUAUUGCCUUACAGAUUUUCUAUGAAUUUUAAACAUAAGAAUGUGUGCUGUUUGGUAUCCUGCAAACUUUUUACUUAUGGAAAACUUUUUCCUACAUAAUUAAAAAUUAAUUAUUCAUACACUUAUUAAUGUCUUUGUGGCAUUCCAUCCAGUGAAUCAUUUACUUAUCCAACAAUAAGGAAAUGGUUUUUGUUCCCGCUUUGGGGUGAUAAAAUUACCUGUGUUCAUGUAGUGUGCAGUGUCUGCAUUUCAGGUGAUUUCCUGAGACAGAAUCCCAGAAGUGCUUCUUGCUUCCUAACUAUGGUCCUGACCCCUAGUCCACUUGGAUCUGCCCUCUCCUGAGGUGAUGACAGCGAGCCUCCAGGAGCCCCUGAGCUUGAUGCAAGUUUACUGGCAGUGAAAAAUCCAGCCUCUUGUUUUAUGAAUGAGGAAACUCUCAACAAGGGCUGCUGGACGGUUUGAAUUGCUCACAGCUCAGGUCUCAGGUUACAGUAAACUGAAGUGUGGAAAGAUUUGUCUUACCAGGUCCUGCUGUCUGCACAAUGCAGAUACCUUUGGUUUCCUCCUCUCCUUUUCCUGGACCCUUGCUCGUGGGACUGACUCUGAGCCCAGCAUUGCAAGUUCACACUUCCCUGCCUUUGCCUGAGAUGCCCUCUCCUCUGCCCUGUGUCCCCUUGGCCAAUUUCUGAACAUCUUUAAGGCCCGGCACAGCUGACGCCUCUUCUGUGCACCCUUCCUUUCAUCACCAAGGCAGAGGCAGCCUCCUACAGGCAUGCUGCUCUCUGUUCCUGCAGCCUCAGUUUGGUCUAGCUUUGUUCUUGCUCUUACUGUGAGUCCCUCAAGGGCAGGGCCUGGGUCUUAGUCAUCCUUGAUCCCUGAUGCCUGCUGUUCUUGAUUGGCCCUGGAACAUUAGCAGAAUAUGGCUUGGUUCUGUCCACUGGAACAGUGUGGACUCUUGUUCUGGAGCCACAUGUGAGAGACUGGUUUCUUUCAAUCCACACGGGCAGCUGCUUCGUGUCAUGCUCUGGGCUAGGCAUUUUCCAUAUGAGACCAGGGAUCUGCUGGGUUCCGAGGGCAUGGCCUGGAUUUGCUGCAGUGGAGGGAGAGGGCACACUCAGGUGGGCUCUAAAAGCUACCUGAGUUAGGAAUUGGCAUAUAGCCUGGAUCAGUGGAAACAGGAGAUUGGAAGACCCUAGGAAAGUUUACAGUGUCAGGCAGGUGUUCACAAUUUGCUUUUACUUUAGUGAGUAGAAUUGUUGGAAUGGUUUAAAGCAAAAUCUGAAAGUAAUUCACUGUUCAUGGAAACUGCUGGAAAGAUGUUACUCUUAAAUCCAUAUAAAUUAAAGCAUCAAUUAAAGAAAAGAGAUGGCAUGAGAAGGGAACAUUUAUUAGUUAAGGAGCAAAGUUCUCAGCUGUUGCAGCACAAUAGAAUUGUCCAGGAUAAUUAAAAAAAAAAAAAUCCAGGCCCCACCCUCAAAGAUCAGUUUUAAUUGGCUUAGGGUGAGAUCUGGGCUUUAGGAGUUUUUAAAAACCUCCCUAGGUGAUUCUAGUUGAGAACCAUCCGUGGGAAAUAUGGACUUAAGUCCAAAUCCAGCCCUUCAGUUUACUGCGUGACCUUAGGCAAGGUUACAUCUCUGAAUUUCCUCAUCUUGAGGAAAAUCAUAGAUAAGUCCCUAGAGCAUGGGGACCUGUGUCUCUGGUCUUCGGUAAUUGUAUUCCUUGAACUUGGCACAGUGCCUGGAACAUGGUCAGUGCUCAGUACGUAUUUGUUGAAUUAAAAAAAAAUAACAUUCAUGAAUAGGGUUAAGAUUAGAUGAGAUUCGAAGCUUGGCCGUAUAUAAUGAAUAAAUUUAGUGUUAGUAAUAAGCACCCUUAAGAGUCACAGAACAGGUACCUGAGUGGUGGUACCUCACUUCCUCUGAGAAAACUGAGCAGUUCAUUUCUUACCCAAAGUUAGGCAGCUUGUUAUGAAGCUGGGAUUUGAGCCCAGGCCUGCCUGAUUCUGAAUUCUGUGUAUGCUUUUUCCACCUUGGCUCAGAUCUUACUCCUUAAGUUCCCUGAAAUUGAAAGAACGUAGUCAUUUCACCCUGAUCCCCAGACCCCUCGUGGUUUGUGAUGCUUACAGACUGUUACUACCUAGUGCCUCUGCUUUCCCUCUUUUUUAGUAUUCAGUUGGAAAUGAAGAAUACAUGUGUUUUUUCCCUUAGUAGCGUUCUGUACUGCAUUGCAUAGGCAUUUUUUCCCUGCCUUCUUUCUCUCCUUGUGAAAACCUAGGCUGAUGUUAGAGAAUGCAUCCCUGUUUAAUUUUUCCUUCCUAUAUUUAACUGUUGGGAGUGUCUGAAGGAGAUUCCAAGGAGGUUGUGAUGCAGGGGAACACUGGGUUUUGUUUUGGACUCUGACUUAUCAGCGAGAGGCACACAGGCGGGAGUGUGUUUCAGGGUUAGUUAAUGAAUUACCUGUUAAUGCAGCAUAUCCAGCAGGUUUUAUGCCAGGCCUCAGGGUAGGAUCCCCACCCCCACUUUGUAGUGGGAGGUGAUGCGUGAAUAACCAAAAUACAGUCCCCAGCUGGCUGUCAGACAUCAGUCAGCGUGAACGUGCUCUGGGGGCACAGAGGAGGGACUAGGCAGGCUGGGGCCCCUCAGCCUAAAAGGCUCUGGAGGAGAGUGGUUUGAGCUGAUUUGGUGUUUGCUGAGGUGUCAUGUGGUAAUGGGGACAAGUGCCCACUGGCGAGUGUUACCAGUACCUUCCGGGUCAGUUCCUCGCUCCCCAAGGGCAACCACUGCCUGACUCUGUCGUCAUACCUGAGGUUUCCUUUUUUUUUUUUUUUUUUGGAACUUCAGAUAAAUGGAGUCAUACAGCACAUACUUUUGUGACCAGCUUUCUUUGCUCACCUUUGUCCGAGGUUCACCCGGGUGGUUACUGUGUGGCAGCAGGGUUCAUUUUCUUUCAUUCUGUAUAGUUUUUAGUUGUAUGGAUGUACCUCUCUGUGUUCUCCUAUGGAUGGAUGUUUGAUUUGUUCCGUUUUUGAUGACUGGGCAGAGUGCUACUCUUAAUGUUUCUGGUGCCAUAUACCUCAGGGUGAGAGUGCUGUCUGCUUGAGUGGAUGCUGCCGAGUGGUUUUACCAUGGGGUGGUACCAGCGCGUGCUCCCACUAGCAGCAUGCAGGGGGUCGGGGUGCUCCACAUCCUCUCCAAAACUCAGCGCUGUCAGUCUUCUGUUUUUCUUUUGUUUUUCUUUUUGCCAUUCUGGUAAUAGGGUAAGGGUAUGUGGUUUUAAUUUAAAUGUCUGAUGACUAAUGAUUUGAUGCACUUUUUCUUAUCUUACCAUUGAGAAUCAUCUGGUGUGACCUGCUUGCUGUCUGAGGUUGUCUUACUGAUUUGCAGGCAUACUUUAUAUGUUCAGGAUGAGAGUCCGUUGUGAGAUAUGUGUAUUGCAGUACCUUCUGCACUAUGGCUUUUGUUUUUAUUCUAAUAAUGUUUUUGAAUUUUGUUUUCUUAACAGAAUUUCUUAAUUGUAAUGAAUUCAGCUUUACAGAAUUUUUCUUUUUACAAUUAGUGCCUUUUGCAUCCUGUUAAGAAAUUCUUUUAUCUUCUAGAAGCUUUGUUUUGCUGUUACCAACUAGAUCCAUGAUCCAUCAGAAUUAAUUUUCUGUAUAGUGUGAGGUAGUGAGCGGAUAAUUUUUAUUUAUUGUAAAGGUCACCAUUCCCCCUGAACCUUUGAAAUAAACCUGGUGACCAUAUAUGUUCCAUCAUUUAUUUUUUCUUUCACUAAUAUUCAAGACCUAUAAUAGGUCUUGAUAGCUAACAGAGUAAGCCCUCUUGCUUUGUUCUUUAACAUUAUUUUGGUUAUUCUAGGUCCUUUUCAUUGCCAUAGAAAUUUACAAAUCAUUUUGGCAGUUACCACAAAGAAUCUACUGUGGUUUUGUGUGGGAUUACCGUGAAACCAUGGGUCAUUUUUUACUAUGUGUAGACUUUUGAUCUCUGAAUAUGGUACGCCCUUCCAUUUAUUUAGGUUUUCUUUAAUUUCUCCACAAUAUUUUAUAGUUUUUUAAUGUAAAGCUUUUGUGUUUCUUUCAUUAACUUUAUUCCAAGACAUUUGUUAUUUUUGAUGGUUUUAGAAAUGCCAUUUUAUGAAUGUUGAAAUGGAGUUAAUUUUUGUGUAUAGAGCUUGAAACCUGUGGUCUUGCUAAAUUCAGUUCUAAUAGUUUAUGGAUGCUUUGGAUUUUAUCUGUAGAAAAAUCACGUUGUCUGUGGAUGAGUUUUGUUUCUUUCCAAUUCUUACACUUUUUAUUUAGUUUUCUUGCUUUAUUGCAUGACUAGGAAUUCCCAUACAAUGCUGAAUUGAAGUGGUACUGGUCCCUGGGAAAGCUUUUACCAUUGCCCCUAUUAAGUGUGAUUUUUGCAGUAAGAUACCUUUUAUCAGAUACCUUACUUUAAAUUGAAUACCUUUUGUUAGAUUAAGGAAGAUCCCUUUUAUUCCUAGUUUUACAGUUUAAAAGCAUCAUGAAUAUGUUGUAUUUGUCAAAUGCUUUUUUUCCCCUGUAUCUGUUCAUGGUAAUAUGUGUUUUCUCCUUUAUUUUGUUUAUGUGGUGAAUAACAUAUUUUUCUAAUGUUAUGUAAGCUACCUUUGCAUUCCUAGAAUAAUCCCAACUUGUUCUUGAUAAAUCAUCCUUUGUGUCUGUCAUUGGAUUUGAUUUGGAUUUGAUUUGCUAAUAUUUAAAAAAUUUUUCUAUCUCUGUUCAUUAAAGAGUAUAGCCUGUAAUUUUCCUUUCUUAUAAUGUUCUUGUCAAGUUUUGGUACCAAGAUUAUGCUGACCUUAUCAAAUGGGUUGAGGAAUGUUCCGCCUUCUGUUUUCUCAGAGUUUCUAUAAGACUUUUCUGUGGUAGUUAAAUGAACUGACCAAUGUAUUAAAACUCAGAACUGUACACCAAAAAGUCAGUUUUCUUGUAUAUGAAUUAAAAAAAAUAAAAGCUUUUGCAGGAA